GGAAGAAGGCAGCGGCUUCGCGUCCCGCCUCUCGCCUGGCUGGCCAUGGGCGGCCUGGACGCGGUUCCCUUGUCCUCCCCGGCGGCCUCUCGAAUCUCCCAGGAAUCCUAAUGUCACCCGAGGAUGCUGGGAGGAACGCUGAGCCGACCUCUCCAUUGGGCUAAAGACUGCACAAACCAUGAUAAUGACCAGCAAGGAUGGAGGGAGCGUAUGAGAUGUGCCGGGCAGUGUGCUACGUCUCAGCCAACUCUAGGAGACCACCAAAUAGUGAAGAAGAAAGGAGCCUGGAGCCACAGUAGGAGAACUUUAAUGGCCACUAAGAACAUACAAUCAUCUGGCACCCUGCCAGGGAAAUUUGGGGCCUUUGGAGCUUCAUGCUUGGAAAACCACACCCUUAAUUUUCCUCCCUUAGUCCGAGUGGACUGAGAGACAAGCUUAUGUUUUGUUUCUUAUAAAUUUUUUUUUACACCCAUCUGACCCUUAAACAUUGCUAUGGUUUGAAAGUGAUGCCUCCAAAAUUCAUGUGCUGGAAACUUAAUCCCCAAUGCAACAGAACCGGGAGGUGGGGCCUAAUGGGAGAUCUGUAAGUCAUGAGGGCUUUGCCCUCAUGAAUGGAUUAAUGCUGGUAUGAAAAGGGCUUGUGGAAGUGGGCUUUCUCUCUCGCGCCCUCUCUCCCAGUCUUCUGCCGUGUGAGGACAGUGUUCCCCCCACUGGAGGAUGCAGCAGUGAGGCACCGUCUUGGAACCAGAGACUAAAUAUGCUGGCAGCUUAAUCCUGGGCUUCCCAGCGUCCAGAACUGUGAGAAAUAAGUUUCUGUUCUUUAACAUUUCCUAGUGUGUGGUAUUCUGUUAUAGCAGUGCGCGUGCACACACACACACACACACACACACACACACACUAAAAAAAAAGAUUGAUAAUAAUUCUUCUCUUUUCUAACCCUAGCUUAAUGUGGAAAAACAAGUUUAUAUUUUAGGGGAUUUAUCCGUACUUACCCAAAACCUUGUAUCAUCUCCAUCUGUUCCACUGGUUAUUACCAAACUGAGAAUUAGUCAGUUGACCUUUUGUGCAGGAGGGUAUUAGUCUCCUAGGACUGCUGUAACAAAAUACUACAAACUUGAUGACUUAAAACAAAUGUAUUCUCUCACACUCUGGAGGCUAGAAAUCUGAAAUUAAGGUGUCCGCAGGCCCACAUCCUCUCUGCAGGCUCUAGGGAAGGAUCGUGUCUGCCUCUUCCUAGCUUCUGGUGGUUGCCGGCAUUCCUUGGCCUUCCUUGGCUUAUAGACACGUUGCUUCCCUCUUUGCCUCUGUAGUUACAUGACGUUCUCCCUGUGUGUGUCUGUGUUAAAAAUUUCCCUCUUUUAAUAAGGACGACAGUUGAAUUGGGUCAGGGGCCACCCUACGCCGCUCUAACUUCAUCUUACCUUGAUAACAUCUGUAAAGACCCUAUUUCCAAAUAAGGUCACAUUUAUACAUACCAGAGGUCAGGACCCAAACAUCUCUUUGGGGAACUCAAUUCAACCCACAGCAGUCAAGUCUAUGAAAGGACUGAUGUAGUAAUGAACAUCACCCUCAGUGGGAAGAGUCUAAUAAACUGUGUUGGCAAAAGACAAGAGCCUAAGGGCAGGUCGAGAAGGUUGAUUGAGGAGGAAGGAGAAUGUAAAAAGAAGCUGGUAAAGUUUUCUGAGGAAAUGGAUUUCUCUUGGGUUGUCAGGAAAAUCAUAUGGGGAGAAUAAAGUCUUUUCUUCAUUCAGCACUUGUAAGCUGGUAGCCUUUAGAUGAAACAUUUCAUGUAUUGUUUCAGUAUUCCUCACAGCCUACAAGGUAGGAAUAUCUCCACUUUUUUUAGAUAAGGAAGUUGGAACAUAGGGAAGUUACAGUCAAUUGCUUAAAGGUUAUUUAGUAAAUAAAUGGCAAAGCCAGGAAUGAAAGCCCUCUCUGUCUCAGAGCAAACUCUUUCCGUUUGUGAAAAUAAUCCUGCACUGAGUCAAUAAAUAAUCACCCCGUAUGUCAUAUCUGCCAGGUACAGGACCCAGGGGUGGGUCGGGGUAUAUGCUGCCAAACUGCCUUGGACAAAGGUGAUCACAGUUUACAUUUCCACUUACACUGUGGGAAAGUGCCUGAUUACACAGACCGUUCCCAGCACUGAAUAUUCAACCCGGAAUUGUUUAAAACUAGAUGUUUAAAAAGUGGUAUCUUGUUUUAAUGUGCAUGUUUUUGAUUAUUAGUGAAGUUGAACGUCUCUUCAAAUGCUUAUCUUAACCAUUUCUAUUUCCUUUUCUCUAAAUUGUCUUGUCAUAUAUUUUGCGCAUUUUCUGUGGGGUUGUUUAUCAUAUAGAUUUGUUGAAGUUUUUUAUAUAUGAGAUCAACACUGUGUCAUUUUGUAUGUUACAAAUACAUCCUCCCAUUAAG
ensembl:lncRNA